UACGAAGGGGGCGAGCGUUGUUCGGAAUUACUGGGCGUAAAGGGCGCGUAGGCGGCCGAUCAAGUCAGAUGUGAAAGUCCUGGGCUUAACCUGGGGACUGCAUUUGAUACUGAUUGGCUUGAAUUCGGGAGAGGAUAACGGAAUUCCCAGUGUAGAGGUGAAAUUCGUAGAUAUUGGGAAGAACACCGGUGGCGAAGGCGGCGAGCUGGCCUGUACCUGACGCUGAGGCGCGACAGCGUGGGGAGCAAACAGG
rnacentral:rRNA from 1 species